AUGCAAGUCUCAGUACAAACUGAUUUAAAGUGAAACCGCAGAAGGCUCAGUAAACCGGUCAUGGUUCAAAUGAACCCUUUAAUUCAUUUGGAUAACUGUGGUAAUUCUAGAGCUAAUACAUGCAACUAAGUCCUGACCAGCGAUGGAAAGGACGCUUUUAUUGGAUCAAAACCAUCCACCUGGCUUGCUGGGUGUUGGCUUGAUGACUCUAGAUAACACCACGGAUCGCACGGUCUCUGAACCGGCGAUGUAUCUUUCAAAUGUCUGACUUAUCAGCCGUCGAUGGUAGACUCUAUGUCUACCAUGGCGCUCACGGGUAACGGGGAAUCAGGGUUCGAUUCCGGAGAGGGAGCCUGAGAAACGGCUACCACAUCCAAGGAAGGCAGCAGGCACGCAAAUUACCCACUCCCAGCACGGGGAGGUAGUGACAAUAAAUAACGAUACGGGACUCAUCCGAGGCCCCGUAAUCGGAAUGAGCACACUUUAAAUCCUUUAACAAAAAUCUAUUGGAGGGCAAGUCUGGUGCCAGCAGCCGCGAUAAUUCCAGCUCCAAUAGCGUAUAUUAAAGUUGUUGCGGUUAAAAAGCUCGUAGUUGGUUCUGCGUGCCAUGCUGUCGGUUCACCGCCUGCCGGUGUAACUGACAUGUCAUGGCAUGUCUUGUCGGUGGUGGAUCAAGGUCCUUUGGUGCAUCAUGCUACUACCUGGCAGCAACAGCUAAGGGGUAGCUGUGUGCCUUGGUUGAUCCUUGUCUGCCUAUUCUAUCCUACCACGGUGCUCUUUACCGAGUGUCGAGGUGGGCCGACAAUGUUUACUUUGAACAAAUUAGAGUGCUCAAAGCAGGCUCUAACAUUUGCCUAAAUAGUGGUGCAUGGAAUAAUAGAAUAGGACCUUGGUUCUAUUUUGUUGGUUUUCGGAUCCCAAGGUAAUGAUCAAUAAGGACAGGCGGGGGCAUUCGUAUUGCGACGUUAGAGGUGAAAUUCUUGGAUCGUCGCAAGACGCACUAGAGCGAAAGCAUUUGCCAAGUAUGUCUUAAUUGAUCAAGAACGAAAGUUAGAGGUUCGAAGGCGAUCAGAUACCGCCCUAGUUCUAACCAUAAACGAUGCCAGCCAGCGAUCCGUCGAUGUUCCUCCGAUGACUCGACGGGGAGCUUUCCCCGGGAAACCAAAGCUUUUGGGUUCCGGGGGAAGUAUGGUUGCAAAGCUGAAACUUAAAGGAAUUGACGGAAGGGCACCACAGGAGUGGGGCCUGCGGCUUAAUUUGACUCAACACGGGGAACCUCACCAGGUCCGGACUUCGGAAGGAUUGACAGAUCGAUAGCUCUUUCUCGAUUCGACGGGUAGUGGUGCAUGGCCGUUCUUAGUUGGUAGACUGAUUUGUCUGGUUAAUUCCGAUAACGAACGAGACUCUAGCCUAUUAACUAGGCGUCUCCGGUAUACUAUAUCUACCGGCGAGAUUUAUUCUUCUUAAGGGGACAGGCGGCUCAUAGCCGCACGAGAUUGAGCAAUAACAGGUCAGUGAUGCCCUUAGAUGUUCUGGGCCGCACGCGCGCCACACUGAAGGAAUCAGCGUGUUUUAUCCCCUGUUCGAAAGGACCGGGUAACCCGCUAAACCUCCUUCGUGCUAGGAAUUGGGGCUUGCAAUUGUUCCCCAUGAACGAGGAAUUCCCAGUAAGCACGAGUCAUAAGCUCGUGUUGAUUACGUCCCUGCCCUUUGUACACACCGCCCGUCGCUACUACCGAUUGAAUGAUUUAGUGAGGUCUUCAGACCGGUGGUGGUCGGCGCUGACAUGUUCAGUAUCGGCUCCGCUGGAAAGAUGACCAAACUUGAUUAUUUAGAGGAAGUAAAAGUCGUAACAAGGUUUUC
rnacentral:rRNA from 1 species